GUUGUAUAGUUAAGUGACUAAGCGUACAAGGUGGAUGCCUUGGCAAUCAGAGGCGAAGAAGGACGUGCUAAUCUGCGAAAAGCUUGGAUGAGUCGAUAAGAGGCGCUUAAUCCAAGAUAUCCGAAUGGGGAAACCCAGUAGAUGAAGAAUCUACUAUCAACAAGUGAAUUCAUAGCUUGUUGAGGCAAACCGGGAGAACUGAAACAUCUAAGUACCCCGAGGAAAAGAAAUCAACCGAGAUUUCGUCAGUAGCGGCGAGCGAAAGCGAAAGAGCCAGUAAGUGAUAGCAGUAUAGUGAGGAGAAUGUGUUGGGAAGCACAAUCAAAGAGGGUGAUAAUCCCGUAUCUAAAAACCAUAUUGUGGUACUAAGCUAACGAGAAGUAGGGCGGGACACGUGAUAUCCUGUUUGAAGAAGGGGGGACCA
rnacentral:rRNA from 1 species